UCCAGCCCAGACUACAAGACCCAAAAUGCCGCGCGCGUCCUACACCGCCCCGCGGAGUUUGCGCGGGGUUCGGGGAGUUUUUAGAUUUUAGCAACGAGCGCCCGAGCGACUCUAGUUGAGAACGUUGCAGCCUAGGGAAUUAGAGCGUGUGGUUUUACGAGCGAGCCCCAUGAUGCUUGGGUAACAGCAACUCGGUCAUAAUAAUCUUGCUCAAGACAACAUCUGAAGUCACAUUGCUCAUGCCCACAGGAAAUGUGUCUCUCACAUGAAGUUCCUAAAAUCUCAAGGAAUGUGGGGAAGAGAGGAAGUUUGAUGCUGCAAAAAAGAACAAGGACUUGGAAUCGGGCUGAACUGGACUUAAUUCUGUCUCUACUUUUUGCCUGCUGUGUAACUUUGAACAAGCUCAACUUCUCUGAGCCUCGGCCAACAGAAAACUCUGAAACAUGGCAACAUGACCUCAGACCUACCUUGCAGCAUUUCUGUGGGAGGGACCGUAAUGGAUAAAGGGGAUGCCAUACACUGGCACUAAUAAACAGUAGCUAUUUUAGGUACUGCAGAUA